rnacentral:rRNA from 1 species
AUUGAACGCUGGCGGCAGGCCUAACACAUGCAAGUCGAGCGAGCGGCGGACGGGUGUGUAAUGUAUGGGGACUGCCCGAUAGAGGGGGAUAACUACUGGAAACGGUGGCUAAUACCACAUCCUAUCGGAGCACCCAUAUGGGAUUAGCUAGUAGGUGGGGUAAAGGCGCACCUAGGCAACGAUCUCUAGCUGGUCUGAGAGGAUGAUCAGCCACACUGGGACUGAGACACGGCCCAGAAUCCUACGGAGGCAGCAGUGGGGAAUAUUGCACAAUGGGCGCAAGCCUGAUGCAGCCAUGCAGCGUGUAUGAAGAAGGCCUUGGGGUUGUAAAGUACUGGCAGCGGGGAGGCGUUACCCGCAGAAGAAGCACCGGCUAACUCCGUGCCAGCAGCCUCGGUAAUUC